UCCUAGCUAUAAAUUAAAUUGAAUUUACCAGAGUACUAUGAAUACUGUAAAAUUUAAAACUCAAAGGACUUGGCGGUGUUUUAGACCACUCAGGGGAACCUGUCUCAUAAUCGAUAAUCCACGUUAUACCUAACCCACUUUUGCUUUCAGCUUGUAUACCGUUGUCGUCAGGUAACUUUUUAGAAUCUAGAAGUUAGCUAAAAAUGAUGAGUUUAAACGUCAAAUCAAGGUGCAGCUAACAAGGGGGAGAGGAUGGGUUACAAUUAUUUAAUUAUAAUUACGGAAGAUUAUAAGAAUAGGUAAUUAAGAAGGAGGACUUGAAAGUAAAUUAGACUAUAAAAAUAAUUUGAAUAAGGCUCUGAAAUGCGCACACAUCGCCCGUCGCUCUUGUUGGAAAAUAAGAUAAGUCGUAACAUAGUAGGGGUAAUGGAAAUUGUUCCUAAACU
rnacentral:rRNA from 1 species